rnacentral:rRNA from 1 species
GACGAACGCUGGCGGCGUGCUUAACACAUGCCAGUCGAACGGAAAGGCCCUGCUUUUGUGGGGUGCUCGAGUGGCGAACGGGUGAGUAACACGUGAGUAACCUGCCCUUGACUUUGGGAUAACUUCAGGAAACUGGGGCUAAUACCGGAUAGGAGCUCCUGCUGCAUGGUGGGGGUUGGAAGGUUUCGGCGGUUGGGGAUGGACUCGCGGCUUAUCAGCUUGUUGGUGGGGUAGUGGCUUACCAAGGCUUUGACGGGUAGCCGGCCUGAGAGGGUGACCGGCCACAUUGGGACUGAGAUACGGCCCAGACUCCUACGGGAGGCAGCAGUGGGGAAUAUUGCACAAUGGGCGGAAGCCUGAUGCAGCAACGCCGCGUGCGGGAUGACGGCCUUCGGGUUGUAAACCGCUUUCGCCUGUGACGAAGCGUGAGUGACGGUAAUGGGUAAAGAAGCACCGGCUAACUACGUG